CUUAUAUAAGGCCUUGCGAGGGCGAGCGCGCGCCCUUUCGCGUGGACGCUCGGAGCGUGGAAAUAUGAGCCUGAAAACUGAUGGUGCUGCUGUUACACACAAUAAACUCUGUGGUCUGAUAUCACUACUUUUAAGAUGAAGAUGAAAUUCAGGGAGCAGCUGGGACACAUUUGGUCUUGAGUCUUCAGUUUCUGAUUCCUAACAUACAUCAAUGAUACAAGAGUGUUCUUGGACUAAAGACUGCCAUAUUUGCUGAAAAAAAACCAAAGUGUUGAAGUCAAAGGGGAACGUAAUCUGAAGUGUUCGCUGAAGUUACAUCAUGUGUGAGCUCUAAUGAUCCUCAAGGAUUUGCAGAAAAUCAAUCUGGAAAUUAGCAGUCCAUUAAAAAUGUAUAACUCUGUUUAAUACCUUAAGCAUUUCCUUAAAGUGUUAAAUACCUUAAGUGUUUCCUUAAAGAGAAUGUAAUCGUGGUCCUAUAUAAUAAGUUAUCAAAAUAAAAGAUUUAAUGCACCAGA